AACUCGAAACGUCGAACUUGUUUGAAGUAUUCAGAAUUCCUCUGAAGUGGCCAAAACGUUUCUGAAGUUCACAGAAGUUAUUCGAAAUUUCCCAGAACUUCCCCAAAGCUAAAAAAUCACGGAAGUGUCCAAAACUUCUUUGGAGAUCUCAGAACUUCUUCAAGAGUGUCCAGAACUUCUUCAAAGCGCCUGAAAUUUAUCUGGAAUGCCCAAAUCUUCUUCAAUGAAAUCUAUUGAAAGCUAUCGGAACUUACCAUAAUAGGUCUUCAAACUUCCGUUCCGGAAUUACCCUAAAGUUUAAAUUCUUAGAAUUUCCAUGAGAUUCUCAGAAUUUCCCGCAAUUUUUCAGAUACUAAUGGAACGUCUUUUAAAAUUUUCUAUAAGUUCUGACGCACAUGGAACUCGUAAUUUCGUUUAAGGUCUCUGGACUGUGUUCUUGGAACAUCUGUAAAGUUCUUACAAUGCUUGCAGUAGUUCAACGAACGUACCUGAAGUUAUCGGUUUAGGGACAAAAGGUCGAAAGACAAAAGGUCUAAAGGGACAAAUGGUCGAAAGGACAAAAGGUCAAAAUACUUUUUAUAAAGAAAAUCAUAUUUCGAUUUUUUGUCAUAGAUUCCAUGUUCUUCCAGAGGUUUUCGGGAUUUCCCUCAUGUUUCCACAACUGUCCGGACAUUCAUGGAACUGCCCUGAACACUCUUGAAACUUUCCUAAAUAUCUUUAAACUUGCGUGAACCGUUCUGAAGUUCUUGGGAAGCUCCUGAAAUGUUCUUGAUGUUGUCCUGAAGUUCUCUGAUCUUCAUCUAAGUUCAUGCAAUUUUAUUGAAAUGCAUGGAUCUGCAUUGAUGUUUGCACAAUUUACCCGUAAGGUUCUGUAAACUUCCCCAAAGUUCUGGACUUUCCUGUGGUUCUUGAAGCUUUCCUGAAGUGUGUUUGAAAUAUCUCUAAAUGUAACAGAUUUUCCUGAAGUUCAUGGAACAUCACUAUCAAUUCAAUAUACCCUUCUUAGAAGAACACAAUUUAAAAAAAUAUAUAAGAGACCCUAAACCCUAAAGGUCCAAAGGGUCUAAAAUUAAAAUGGGUCUGAAGGUUUAAUGGGCCUAAAGAUCGAAUGGGUCUAAAGGUCGAAUUUUUCUAAAGGUCAAAUUGAUCUAAAGCUCGAAUGGGUCUAAAGGUCCGAUGGGUCUAGCGGUAUAAAGGUUGAAUGGCUCUGAAGGCUGAAAGACAAAAGGUAGAAAGGAACAAAUGAUCGAUUUUCGAUCUUUUGUUUAUUCGACCUUUUGUCCUUGUAUCGUUUUUAAAGCUAUUUUGUCAUUUCAACCCUUUUUCAUUCGAACGUUUGUCCUUUCCAUCUUUUAUCCUUUCAACCGUUUGUCUUUCAAAAUAACAACAGUUCGAAUGGGUCUAAAGGCCGAAUGGAUGUAAAGGUCGAAUUGGUCUAAAGGUCAAAUGGGCCUAAACUUCGAAUGGGUAUAAAGGUGGAAUAGGUCUAAAGCUCGAAUGGGUCUAACGGUAUAAUGGUUGAAUGGCUCUGAAGGCUGAAAGACAAAAGGUAGAAAGGAACAAAUGAUCGAUUUUCGAUCUUUUGUUCAUUCAACCUUUUGUCCUUGUAUCUUUUUUAAAGCUAUUUUGUCAUUUCAACCCUUUUUCAUUCGAAAGUUUGUCCUUUCCAUCUUUUAUGAAUGGGUCUAAAGGCCGAAUGGAUCUAAAGGUCGAAUUGGUCUAAAGGUCGAAUGGGUCUAAAGGUCGAAUGGGUCUAAAAGUCGAAUGGGUCUAAAAGUCGAAUGGAUCUAAAGGUCAAAUUGGUCUAAAGCUCCAAUGGAUCUAAAGGUCCGAUGGGUCUAGCGGUAUAAAGGUUGAAUGGCUCUGAAGGCUGAAAGACAAAAGGUAAAAAGGAACAAAUGAUCGAUUUUCGAUCUUUUGUUCAUUCGACCUUUUGUCCAUGUAUCCUUUUUAAAGCUAUUGUGUCAUUUCAACCCCUUUUCAUUCGAUCGUUUGUCCUUUCCAUCUUUUAUCCUUUCAACCGUUUGUCUUUCAAAAUAACAACAGUUCGAAUGGGUCUAAAGGCCGAAGGGAUCUAAAGGUCGAAUAGGUCUAAAUGUCGAAUGUGUCUAAAGCUCGAAUGGGUCUAACGGUAUAAUGGUUGAAUGGCUCUGAAGGCUGAAAGACAAAAGGUAAAAAGGAACAAAUGAUCGAUUUUCGAUCUUUUGUUCAUUCGACCUUUUGUCCAUGUAUCCUUUUUAAAGCUAUUUUGUCAUUUCAACCCUUUUUCCUUCGAACGUUUGUCCUUUUCAUCUUUUAUCCUUUCAACCGUUUGUCUUUCAAAAUAACAACAGUUCGAAUGGGUCUAAAGGCCGAAUGGGUCUAAAAGUUGAAUGGGUCUAAAGGUCAAAUGGGCCUAAAGGUCGAAUGGGUCUAAAGGUCGAAUGGUUUAAAGGUCAAAUGGGCCUAAAGGUCUAAUUGGUCUAAAAUUCGAAUGGGUCUGAAGGAUAAAUGGGCUUAAAUUUCAAAUGGGUCUGAAGGUUAAAUGGGCCUAAAUGUCGAAUGGAUCUAAAGUUUGAAUAGGUCUAAAGGUCGAAUUUUUCUAAAAGUUAAAUUGAUCUAAAGCUCGAAUGGGUAAAAAAGUUGAAUGGGUCUAAAGGUCGAAUGGGACUAAAGGUCAAAUGGGCCUAAAGGUCUAAUUGGUCUAAAGAUCAAAUGGGUCUAAAUGUUGAAUGGGUCUAAAGGUCUAAUUGGUCUAGAGGUCAAAUGGGUCUAAAGGUAAAAUGGGCCUAAAGGUUGAAUGGGUUUAAAGGCCGAAUGAAUCGAAAGGUCAAAUAGGCCUAAAAGUCGAAUGGGUCUAAAGGUCGAAUAGGUCUAAAGAUCGAAUUUUUCUAAAGCUCGAAUGGGUCUAAAGGUCCGAUGGGUCUAGCGGUAUAAAGGUUGAAUGGCUCUGAAGGCUGAAAGACAAAAGGUAAAAAGGAACAAAUGAUCGAUCAAAUGGGCCUAAAGGUAAAAUGGGCCUAAAGGUUUUAUGGGUUCAAAGGCCGAAUGAAUCUAAAGGUCAAAUAGGCCUAAAAGCCGAAUGGGUCUAAAGUUUUGAUUGGUCUAAAGGUUUAAUGGGCCUAAAGGUCAAAAGGCUUUAAAGUAGAAUGAGUCUUAAGGCCGAAUGAAUCUAAAGGUCAAAUGGGCCUAAAGGUUAAAUAGCUCUAAAGGUUGAAUGGGUUUAAAGGUCAAAAGACAAAAGGUACAGGCUGAGACUGUAUUUUAAUGACUUCAAACAAGUUCGCAAAAGGAGAAUGUAAUUUUUUACUAUUUGCCUUUCUUUCAAAGCUGCUCGACUUUUAAAACUGGGGUUUAAGGUGACCCUGCACUUUUGCAGAUACAUUUCACGUGUGACCAUUAUUGCACAAAGAAAUUGGUCAUCAUUUGUAGAUUUGUACAUCAAUUCAGUAUACUCUUCUUAGAAGCAUACAAAUUAAAAAAAAUAAGAAUAAUGUUUUUGAUCUUUCAACCUUUUGUUCAUUCGACUAUUUGUUCAUUCGACCUUUUGUUUUGUUGCUACAACCCUUUGUCCUUCCCAUCAUUGACCUUUAGUCUUUCGAAAGGACAACAGUUCGAAUGGGUCCAAAGGCCGAGUGGGUCUAAGGGCCAAAUGGGCCUAAAAGUCAAAUGAGUCUAAAGCUCAAAGGUCCUAAAGGUCGAAUGGGUCUAAAUAUUGAACGGGUCAACAAUUCGAAUGGGUCUAAUGGUUCUAAAGGUCGAAUCGUUCUAAAGGUCGAAUGGUUCUAAAAGGUCGAAUGGGCCUAAAAUUCUCAUGGGUCUAAUGGAUCUUAAGGUCAAAUGAGCCUACACACUUGGAAAUGAUUACCGUCUUCGGUACUUUUUACCGAACUGUUCGGUAAAAAUCAACCAUUCAAUUCAUUAGUUUUAAGGCUUCAAAACACGGAAAACUUCACCACAAUGGCAAGACUCGACUAUCUAAACUAGGCUGGCAGUGUUUUGACAUUAAAAUCAAGUGAAACAGCUUUUGAAAUGAGGGUCAAAGUUUUACCGAACGCUGUAAAGCGGUUGAAAGUUCGGUAAAAAAUUACCAAAGUCUACGUGUUUAAAGGUUGAAUGGGUUUAACGGGUCAAUGGAUCUAAAGGCCGAAUGGGUCUAAAGGUCGAAUGGGUCUGAAGGCCUAAAAGGUCGAAUGGGUCUAAAGGUCCAAUGGGUCUAACGUUUGAAUGGAAUGGAAAUAUCGAAAAAGACAAAAGGUCGAAACUUCAAAAGCUGAUGGAAACAUUCUGAAACUGAAAUUUCAUGACUUCAAAUCAGUUGUCAAAUGGAAAGGAAUGAGUCUAAAGGUUGAAUGGGUUUAAAGGUCGAAAAAGACGAAAGGGACAAAAGGUUGGAAUUUCAAAAGCUGAUGAUUUGAUUUUCAGGUAGCUUUACAGGACAAUCUUUCUUCAAAAUGAAAAAUCCAGAACUUUCUACCUUUCGUCCUUUCACCCCCUUGAGCCUUUUAUCAUUUCACCCUUUUGUCCCAUUCGAUAGUUUGUCUUUUCGACAUUUCGUCUUUCGAACUGUUGUCAUUGAUUCAUCGGAAUCUAUGACAAAAUGUCAAAAGAACAAAAGGUCGAAUGGACAAAUGGUCGAAUGGACAAAAGGUUGAAAGGAUAAAAACAAUUUGAAAGGACAAAAGGUCGCAAGACAAAGAGUAGUUCCACGUCAAAUGACACAUGAGAAGAACUCGUCCGGCUUCGGUUGGCAUGAAACUGUUUAUAAUUGUUUGGUACGAAAGGACAACAGUUCGAAUGGGUCUAAAGGUUGCAUGGGUUUAACGGUUCAAUGGAUCUAAAGGCCGAAUGGGCCUUAAGGUCAAAUGGAUCUAAAGGUCGGAUAGGUCUGAAGCUGAUGGAAACGUUCUGAAACUGAAAUUUCAUUACUUCAAACCAGUUUUCAAAAGGAAAGGAAUGGGUCUAAAGGUCGAAUGGGUCUAAAGGUCAUCUAAAGGCCAAUGGUAUGUAUGAAUGUAAAGAAAACCACUCAUUGUUGCAGGCACAACCAUUAGACAGUGGCCUGUCCUCCUCUUACGACUUGAUCAAGUACAACACCUGAUUGCAUUCAAUUCACCUUUGUAUGAAGGGCCAAACACGAAGGGCGAACCCGUAAGCAGAGACACUUACCCUUAGUCCGCGGGAUUAAGGAGAAUCUCCUUCCAAAGGUCAUCUAAAGGCCUAAUGGGCCUAAAGGUCAAAUGGGUCUAAAGUUCGAAUGCGUCUAAAGGGAAUAAAGGUCAAAAGGGACAAAAGGUUGAAAUUUCAAAAGCUGAUGUUCCGAUGGCUUCAAACCAGUCUUCAAAUGGAAAAUGUGACAUCAGACUGUUUUCCCGUCUAAGAAAGCAGAACGUUCUUUAAAAUUUGAAUUUCAGGUAACUUUGCAGGACAAUCUUUCUUCAGAAUGAAAAAUCCAGCCCUUUCGACCUUUAGUCCUUUCAACAAUUUGCUUUUUCGAGCCUUUUAUCAUUUCACCCUUUUGUCCCAUCCGAUAGUUUGUCUUUUCGACAUUUCGUCUUUCGAACUUUUGUCAUUGAUUCAUUGACAAAAUGUCAAAAGGACAAAAGGUCGAAUGGAUAAAAGGUCGAAAGACAAAGACUAGUUCCACGCCAAAUGACGAAUCGGAAGAACUGGUCCGGCUUCGGUUGGCAUGAAACUUUUAUAAUUUUACAAGAUCGAAAAAGGGCAGAAUUUUGGCAAAAAUGUGAACCAUUGCCCAUAACAAACAAUGGCACAUAGUUUCAUACAAGUCGGAGAAGGUCGAAUCAAAUUAUAAGUUAUUUUUUUCGCUAUUUGGCCUGGAACUGCUCAAAAGGUUGAAAUCAUUGAACGUUUAUUUGGAAGGCUCAAUCGCGUUAGCUUUACGGAGUCGAUAAUUCAUUGUUUUCAACAAAAUUCACUUAUGUCAAUGUCCAGAAGGAGUCACCCGAGGUUAGAGGGGUACAUUGUCGAUGGAUAGGGUCAGGGAAUGAGCUUUGGGGGUGGUCAGAUAAAGAGUAGUUUUUAAAGAAGUGAAAGUCAUAUAAAAUCAUAUUUCUCUUCUGAGUUUUCAGUUUCAGAAUAUUAACAUCAGCUUUUGGCCCUUCGAGUUUUUGAUCCUUUCGACCUUUUGUCCCUUUGGACCUUCUAUUUUUUUUCCUUGAUUUGUUUUCCAUACUGACUACCAAUGCUACCGACGCAAGGGAAGCAGGCUUGCUAUCGACCCAUCAACUCAUGGACACUUUAGGGAUCAACGACUUCACUUCCAUCGGAGAUCAGUGAUCAAAGAGUUUUGCCUCAGAAAAUUUCGACGACGCCGACUAGGAUUGAACUCAGGCCCUUUGGAGUGAGAGGCAUUCACGCUUACCACUACACCAUCGGCGUCGUUCGUUCGACCUUUUGUCCCUAAACCGAUUCAUCAUAGACCAUUUUGUGCGCAAAAAUUGCAUAUGUUUUGUACUGAACUAUACAGCACUGACAAACAGACGUACCUCUUUGUCGUCAACCGUCGUACACGCAUUUAACGUUCAAUUUAAAUAUUAUUACUUGCUUUAAUCUCUCACUGCAGCGCUGGUAUCGGAUCACGUUGACGUUUUUCAUAACAAAUCGCUGUCAAACUCAUGUUGGCAGAUCUAAAUUCAAACAUUUCUAGAUAGAGCUGGAAUUAGGGCAUAACAGCUUUUGUAAACAAUGACUUCUAUCGUUGAUUUCUAGAUACUCCAGGCACUCCUACACAAACCAGCAUAUCCAUCGGAUAGGGGAAGUCUUCCCCCACUCGAUGGUGAUGUCGGUUUGCCAGGGAGAGCCAUGAAUUUCGAGAAAUCAUCGUUACGCCCUAAUUUCAGCUCUAUCUAGAUUUGUUAGGUUAGUCAGAGGAAAAUAAUAAACAACUUUACAUGGCGAUGCACCCGCUUUUGGGCGUGCGAUAAACGUCACUAAUGUUUAUAAAUUCUGUCGAACUUGUAUGCAACAUUGAUUGCAACUUGGCAAGCAGGCGUUUUUACACGAAUAACUCACGAGAUGUCGUUAGUGAGUUCCGUGACGAUAAGCAAAAUUUAUGUUAAGAGUUACGUCUGUUAGUCUGUGCAUACAGUUUCAUUUUUUCAUCAGAUUAAAAAUGUUUAAAUCUUCACAGAAAAAUUGAAAAGUGAGCUUUUUUUAAUAAGCUUUUUAAGCAAAACUUACAAAAGGGGUCAUAUUUUGAUAUGUAAGAUUUUUGCAAAAUUAUCAAAGGAAAUUCGCAAUGUAUAUUUUUUUUCUCUGGAACGUCCACCAAUUUUCCUUAGACUUAGAUCCCAGACGUCAUUUAGGGCUGCGUUCCAUUUGACUAAUUUUCACUUAAAUUUGACAGAUGGAAAAAAAAAAUUAAUUCUGACACUCCAGGAAACAAAUUUGACAAACACCUUCUCGAAAAUUGGACGACCAAUUUAUUUUCGAAGUGUCGAAUUUAAGUGAAAAUUCACCAAAUGGAAUAACAUUUUCUGUGCUAUGAUGUACUGAAAGUCAUCGAAUAUGCCAUUUUGAAAAGUGAGGAGCGAGUCCAGAACAAACUCGAAUGAUUGCCUAAAAGUUUCACGGAAAUCGGAGAGUCGAUCGCGUCUGAUAUUCGUUUCUCUUUAUUGCUGGAAGUGCUCAAAACGGAAAAAGAGCAUAAUUGUAGCAAAAAGUUUCGGACUUUAAUUUGCACUCACACACACAUCUUUAGAUUUAACUAUUAAACAUACAAAAAUACACGCUUUUGGCAUUAUAUAAAGAAAACAAACUGAACAUUUCGCAUCUCUAUAUGAACAAAAAAUUUAAAACGGAAAUCUGAGGAACACCCACAAAAACGAUAACAAUUAUAACCAGCAGCAGCAGCAAAGUAGACAAGGUGAUCGCAUAAAAAAAAUACAUAAACAUAAACAAAGCAUUUCGUUUCCAAAUCUGUAGUCGCUAAAAUUAGAUGGAUUGAAACAUAACAUAGAAGAAGAAGAUGAAAAAAAAAACAUUGGUAAGAACAAAAAUCUUAAUAAGCAAAAAAAUACAUAGUAGCAUUAAUUUUAGAUUACCUAACCCUCAAAUAAGGCAAAAUUAUCGCAUACAAAAUUGAUGGAAAAAAUAACCAAAAAAAAAAAGAAUAAAAAUACACGAUCAUAUAAUUGGUAGCUGGUAGGAAUAAUUUUUGGCAACACUGCGCCCGAAGGCGAAAAAUGUUUAAGCAAAAUGCAAAUGUCACUCACCAGCGCAGCGCGCAACGAAACAAACAAACAAACACACACACACGAUUGCUUAGAUUGAAAUCGGGAAAAAACGUCAAAAAGAGGUCACCUUGUCAACUUGAUGUUCUACUACUGCAGCAACUACUACUACCAUUACUACUACUGCAUGCAUACCAGCGAAAGAAAGAUCCGGUUUCCUCGCUUCUCAGUAAAUUGAUGAAAAAAUUAAUGCAUAAAUUUGAAUCAUAACCUAAAGAGUUACACCCAAAAAAAAAAAAAGAACACACUCAUACAUAUUAUAUUCGAUUUGAACAAAACAAAAACAUAAUAGAAAACGUUUGAUGAAAUAGAUAAAUGGAUGAAACAUUCUUACCUCAUAUAUUGAUGAUAUAAAAAAAAAACCCCGAAAGGAAAACAUAUUUAGGAUUAAAACGCAUGUAAUUUGGAUCAUAACAAAGCAAAACGAAAAA